GCGGGAGUGGCGUAACGGCAGCCGCGGUAGGUUUAGGUCCUAUUGUCCUAUUUGGACGUGGGGGUUCGAAUCCCCUCUCCCGCA
rnacentral:tRNA from 1 species